GGGUUGUGAGGUUAAGCGACUAAGCGUACACGGUGGAUGCCCUGGCAGUCAGAGGCGAUGAAGGACGUGCUAAUCUGCGAAAAGCGUCGGUAAGGUGAUAUGAACCGUUAUAACCGGCGAUGUCCGAAUGGGGAAACCCAGUGUGAUUCGUCACACUAUCGUUAACUGAAUACAUAGGUUAACGAGGCGAACCGGGGGAACUGAAACAUCUAAGUACCCCGAGGAAAAGAAAUCAACCGAGAUUCCCCCAGUAGCGGCGAGCGAACGGGGAGCAGCCCAGAGUCUGAAUCAGCUUGUGUGUUAGUGGAACGGUCUGGAAAGUCCGACGGUACAGGGUGAUAGUCCCGUACACCAAAAUGCACAGGCUGUGAACUCGAAGAGUAGGGCGGGACACGUGGUAUCCUGUCUGAAUAUGGGGGGACCAUCCUCCAAGGCUAAAUACUCCUGACUGACCGAUAGUGAACCAGUACCGUGAGGGAAAGGCGAAAAGAACCCCGGCGAGGGGAGUGAAAAAGAACCUGAAACCGUGUACGUACAAGCAGUGGGAGCACCUUCGGGUGUGACUGCGUACCUUUUGUAUAAUGGGUCAGCGACUUAUAUUCUGUAGCAAGGUUAACCGUAUAGGGGAGCCGCAGGGAAACCGAGUCUUAACUGGGCGUUAAGUUGCAGGGUAUAGACCCGAAACCCGGUGAUCUAGCCAUGGGCAGGUUGAAGGUUGGGUAACACUAACUGGAGGACCGAACCGACUAAUGUUGAAAAAUUAGCGGAUGACUUGUGGCUGGGGGUGAAAGGCCAAUCAAACCGGGAGAUAGCUGGUUCUCCCCGAAAGCUAUUUAGGUAGCGCCUCGUGAAUUCAUCUUCGGGGGUAGAGCACUGUUUCGGCUAGGGGGUCAUCCCGACUUACCAACCCGAUGCAAACUACGAAUACCGAAGAAUGUUAUCACGGGAGACACACGGCGGGUGCUAACGUCCGUCGUGAAGAGGGAAACAACCCAGACCGCCAGCUAAGGUCCCAAAGUCAUGGUUAAGUGGGAAACGAUGUGGGAAGGCACAGACAGCCAGGAUGUUGGCUUAGAAGCAGCCAUCAUUUAAAGAAAGCGUAAUAGCUCACUGGUCGAGUCGGCCUGCGCGGAAGAUGUAACGGGGCUAAACCAUGCACCGAAGCUGCGGCAGCGACACUAUGUGUUGUUGGGUAGGGGAGCGUUCUGUAAGCCUGCGAAGGUGACCUGUGAGGGUUGCUGGAGGUAUCAGAAGUGCGAAUGCUGACAUAAGUAACGAUAAAGCGGGUGAAAAGCCCGCUCGCCGGAAGACCAAGGGUUCCUGUCCAACGUUAAUCGGGGCAGGGUGAGUCGACCCCUAAGGCGAGGCCGAAAGGCGUAGUCGAUGGGAAACAGGUUAAUAUUCCUGUACUUGGUGUUACUGCGAAGGGGGGACGGAGAAGGCUAUGUUAGCCGGGCGACGGUUGUCCCGGUUUAAGCAUGUAGGCUGAUUGUCCAGGCAAAUCCGGAUAAUCAAGGCUGAGGUGUGAUGACGAGGCACUACGGUGCUGAAGUAACAAAUGCCCUGCUUCCAGGAAAAGCCUCUAAGCAUCAGGUAACAUUAAAUCGUACCCCAAACCGACACAGGUGGUCAGGUAGAGAAUACCAAGGCGCUUGAGAGAACUCGGGUGAAGGAACUAGGCAAAAUGGUGCCGUAACUUCGGGAGAAGGCACGCUGGUGUGUAGGUGAAGUCCCUGCGGAUGGAGCUGAGACCAGUCGAAGAUACCAGCUGGCUGCAACUGUUUAUUAAAAACACAGCACUGUGCAAACACGAAAGUGGACGUAUACGGUGUGACGCCUGCCCGGUGCCGGAAGGUUAAUUGAUGGGGUUAUCCGUAAGGAGAAGCUCUUGAUCGAAGCCCCGGUAAACGGCGGCCGUAACUAUAACGGUCCUAAGGUAGCGAAAUUCCUUGUCGGGUAAGUUCCGACCUGCACGAAUGGCGUAAUGAUGGCCAGGCUGUCUCCACCCGAGACUCAGUGAAAUUGAACUCGCUGUGAAGAUGCAGUGUACCCGCGGCAAGACGGAAAGACCCCGUGAACCUUUACUAUAGCUUGACACUGAACAUUGAGCCUUGAUGUGUAGGAUAGGUGGGAGGCUUUGAAGCGUGGACGCCAGUCUGCGUGGAGCCAACCUUGAAAUACCACCCUUUAAUGUUUGAUGUUCUAACGUUGGCCCCUGACCGGGGUUGCGGACAGUGUCUGGUGGGUAGUUUGACUGGGGCGGUCUCCUCCCAAAGCGUAACGGAGGAGCACGAAGGUUAGCUAAUCCUGGUCGGACAUCAGGAGGUUAGUGCAAUGGCAUAAGCUAGCUUGACUGCGAGCGUGACGGCGCGAGCAGGUGCGAAAGCAGGUCAUAGUGAUCCGGUGGUUCUGAAUGGAAGGGCCAUCGCUCAACGGAUAAAAGGUACUCCGGGGAUAACAGGCUGAUACCGCCCAAGAGUUCAUAUCGACGGCGGUGUUUGGCACCUCGAUGUCGGCUCAUCACAUCCUGGGGCUGAAGUAGGUCCCAAGGGUAUGGCUGUUCGCCAUUUAAAGUGGUACGCGAGCUGGGUUUAGAACGUCGUGAGACAGUUCGGUCCCUAUCUGCCGUGGGCGCUGGAGAAUUGAGGGGGCUGCUCCUAGUACGAGAGGACCGGAGUGGACGCAUCACUGGUGUUCGGGUUGUCAUGCCAAUGGCACUGCCCGGUAGCUAAAUGCGGAAGAGAUAAGUGCUGAAAGCAUCUAAGCACGAAACUUGCCCCGAGAUGAGUUCUCCCUGAGACUUUAAGUCUCCUGAAGGAACGUUGAAGACGACGACGUUGAUAGGCCGGGUGUGUAAGCGCAGCGAUGCGUUGAGCUAACCGGUACUAAUGAACCGUGAGGCUUAACCUUACAACGCCGAAG
rnacentral:rRNA from 1 species